UACGAGGGGGGCGAGCGUUGUUCGGAAUUAUUGGGCGUAAAGGGUGCGUAGGCGGUUUGGUAAGUCUUGUGUGAAAUCUACAGGCUCAACUUGUAGUCUGCACGAGAAACUGCCGGGCUUGAGUGUGGGAGAGGUGAGUGGAAUUCCUGGUGUAGCGGUGAAAUGCGUAGAUAUCAGGAGGGACACCUGUGGCGAAAGCGGCUCACUGGACCAUAACUGACGCUGAUGCACGAAAGCUAGGGGAGCAAACAGG
rnacentral:rRNA from 1 species